rnacentral:rRNA from 1 species
UACAGAGGUGGCAAGCGUUGUUCGGAAUUACUGGGCGUAAAGGGCGCGUAGGCGGCCUACUAAGUCAGACGUGAAAUCCCCCGGCUUAACCUGGGAACUGCGUCUGAUACUGGAAGGCUCGAGUAUGGGAGAGGGAUGUAGAAUUCCAGGUGUAGCGGUGAAAUGCGUAGAUAUCUGGAGGAAUACCGGUGGCGAAGGCGGCAUCCUGGACCAUUACUGACGCUGAGGCGCGAAAGCUAGGGGAGCAAACGGG